CUUGAUGGAUCCCAGCCACAGCGGCUGCCCCUCAGGGCGCUCCUGGCCGUAGGUGGCCAGCAGGGCCUGGGCCUC
rnacentral:antisense_RNA from 1 species